GACGAACGCUGGCGGCGUGCCUAAUACAUGCCAGUUGAGCGAUGAAGAUUGGUGCUUGCCCCAAUUUGAAGAGCAGCGAACGGGUGAGUAACGCGUGGGGAAUCUGCCUUUGAGCGGGGGACAACAUUUGGAAACGAAUGCUAAUACCGCAUAACAACUUUAAACAUAAGUUUUAAGUUUGAAAGAUGCAAUUGCAUCACUCAAAGAUGAUCCCGCGUUGUAUUAGCUAGUUGGUGAGGUAAAGGCUCACCAAGGCGAUGAUACAUAGCCGACCUGAGAGGGUGAUCGGCCACAGUGGGACGGAGACACGGCCCAAACGCAUACGGGAGGCAGCAGUAGGGAAUCUUCGGCAAUGGACGAAAGUCUGACCGAGCAACGCCGCGGGAGUGAAGAAGGUUUUCGGAUCGUAAAACUCGGUUGGUAGAGAAGAACGUUGGUGAGAGUGGAAAGCUCAUCAAGUGACGGUAACUACUCAGAAAGGGACGGCUAACUACGUG
rnacentral:rRNA from 1 species